ensembl:snRNA U6 U6 spliceosomal RNA
GCUCUCUUUGGCAGCACAUAUACUAAAAUUGGAAUGAUACAGAGAAAAUUAGCAUGGCCCCCAUGAAAGGAUAACAUGCGAAUCUGUGAAGCAUUCCCUGUUUUU